CCGGAGACCCUUAGGAAACUAGGGGUGCUCCAUCUGGAAGAAUCUGGAGACAGGUGCUGCAUGGCUGUCGUCAGCUCGUGCCGUGAGAUGUUGGGUUAAGUCCCGCAACGAGCGCAACCCUUGCCUUUAGUUGCCAGCAGUUCGGCUGGGCACUCUAAAGGGACUGCCGGUGUUAAACCGGAGGAAGGUGGGGAUGACGUCAAGUCCUCAUGGCCUUUAUGACCAGGGCUACACACGUACUACAAUGGCCGAUACAAAGGGCAGCGACACUGCGAGGUGAAGCCAAUCCCGUAAAAUCGGUCUCAGUCCGGAUUGGAGUCUGCAACUCGACUCCAUGAAGUUGGAAUCGCUAGUAAUCGUGGAUCAGCACGCCACGGUGAAUACGUUCCCGGGCCUU
rnacentral:rRNA from 1 species